rnacentral:tRNA from 1 species
GAGGGUAUAGCUCAAGUGGCAGAGCACUUGCUUAGCAUGCAGGAAGUCCUGGGUUCAAUCCCCAGGACCUCCU